CAAUGGCCGAGUGGAUAACGCGAUGGUGUUUGAAGCGAACGGUACUGGGUUCGAGUCCCAGAGUGAA
rnacentral:tRNA from 1 species